GUGACACUACUGGGUGGGUAACUUUGGUGUUCCCUAUCUCCUCUUUCUCUCUCGGGGGUGACAAGGCCAGACCUUCCUCCAUAGGUAUAGGAAGGAGCUUGUAAAAGCUGUUGACCUUCAGCAGCACAUUAUAUACUGUAUAAAAGCUACAAACAGAUGUAGAACACUGCAGGAUCAGAAAAGGAUGGAGAAAAAGGAAAUGUAUUUCACUGCCUUCAAUUUUUUAUGUAUUUUUUUUAACUGUGUUUGAAACCUGUUUCUUGUAUUAAGAAGAAACCGACAGGGACGGAACAACAUGACGUCUCACCCAGGUGCACACUGGUACUGGAUGGUGGAUCCUACGGUGGCAUUGCCCUGCACGGAGAGCAGAUCAUCAUCAUCAGGCAAAGAACAGGACACCUCAGGCACCAGAACUGGCUCUGCUGCAAGACCUCCUCCUGGGGAGGCUGAUGGAAAAAUCAAAAUAGCUUAUUUAUCUCUUGACUUGAUUGUGCAUUAAAAUGCUUGGUUGAUUUGGUAGACAUCUAGUUGAAAAAUGUUAAGAAUUGUACUGUUUGUAUUCAUGUUUCUUAUUGUUUUAGAAAACCUUUUCAGUUUAACUCUAAAAAUGUAGAUUAGUGAAAAUCAGUUAAAAAGGAAAAAGUAGUAACAUAUUUGAACAUAACAAAAAUAUAUUUCAAUUGACCUGUUUGGUCUAUUAAUUCACAUAGAGUCCCCAUGUGAAACAUAUGUAUAGGCUAUUAGCACUGCAGCACACACCACUUAAAAGGGAGUCACAUUUAAUCUGUAAAAACAAGAAAAUGUUCAAUCUGAAAUAAAAGUUACUACAGUACAAAUCUCAGAGAGUGACACUACUUUGAACACUCCCCAAGACAUUGCCAAAGCAUGAGUAAAGUGACUGUGUAUAAAUGAAGGCACAGACUUCUCCAUAGACUCAUUCAUAUGCAUGAGAAAUUACCUGACUCACCCAGUGUGCCAGUCUCUGUUUGGAAAGCGCAGCACCCCUGCACACACUGCUAAAACAAUCAAACUGUCUUAUGCCAAGCUGCUGUCUUAACAAUGUAAGCUCUCAAAGAUCUAACUGGACAUAGCUCCAAUAGUCAGCCAAUACAAUCAAGUACUCCUCAAACAGAGAGCAAUCACUGAUUUAAGAAUUUUGUUGUAAUGGCCAAGAGAAAUGUGGUCUUAAAUGAUAUAAAGAAGGUGUAUGUGGCAUAUUAGCGGCUCAUCAAUCUGAGUUUAGUACUUGUUCUCUUAGCUCUGACAGGUUCAAUUUUGCCUUCCUGAUAGGAGCUAAUGGUUUAUUUCCUCUAUGUGGUGUACGGAGUCCGAUGUGGGAUUUGAAUAUUGUUCUCAAAUCCUUGUGUCAGACCACAUUUGAGCCAACAUCAAAGUGCUGCAAAAAAAUCUAAAAUGCAUCCCACUGAACAGUGUCACAAAAACGUUCCACUUACAAGCAUACAACUUUUGUGUGGAUGGAGCACAAACAUUCAAAACAGUUGGCUGGCCCACUGUGAACACUCCAAGAAAAGCCUUUUGGUCUCUGUGGCCACACCCACAGGUUCAAUUGGUCUGGUUUUAUGUACCAAACUUUCCCUCCUUACUGACUCUGUAGGUCUGGUCUGCUUGGCAGAUGAUAAUAGCCACUUUUCCACUGGGGCGGGGCGGGGCUAAUAGCCUUGGGCCAGUAGCACUGAGGCCAAAAUAGCGCUGCAUUUCCACUGUCGAGCCAGAAGCUCCAGUCGCGUCACUAAAACCCGCCCUUUACAUGCAACCCCAUCAUUUCACCAACAAAGAGAAGUUACCAGAAAACUAAUAAGAAAUAAAUCACUGGAACAUGUGUGAUCACAAAACGAACACGAUAACAGUGGACUUUUGUUUGCAUGUUUUGUUAAAUAUUUAAAUUCAAAAGCAUCAAUGUUUUACUAUAAGUGACACACUGAGCAUAAUGAAUACAUUUAUCAGACUUGAAAAUUUGUCACAGAGAUAAAUGUAUUUAUUUUAUUUAUUUAUUUUUUUACGCUGAAGCGUAUUCAGACGAGACUGUUUCUGUUUAUUUGUAGCCACAUAAAUCACAUUAAGAAUUAAUGAUAAUUUCUCCAUUUUUAUAAAAGCUCCCAAACAAAAAAACAUUAUUAUAUUUUUAUGAUAGGCUACGUGGAGCUAAACUCUCGAGACA